rnacentral:tRNA from 1 species
UCCCCACUGGCUUAGAUUGUAAAGAAUCUGCCUACAAUGCAGGAGAACCUGGGUUCAUUUCCUGGGUUGGGGA